rnacentral:rRNA from 1 species
UACGUAGGGCGCGAGCGUUGUCCGGAAUUAUUGGGCGUAAAGAGCUCGUAGGCGGCUUGUUGCGUCUGCUGUGAAAUCCCGGGGCUUAACCCCGGGCGUGCAGUGGAUACGGGCUGGCUGGAGGCAGGCAGGGGAGAACGGAAUUCCCGGUGUAGCGGUGAAAUGCGCAGAUAUCGGGAGGAACACCGGUGGCGAAGGCGGUUCUCUGGGCCUGUACUGACGCUGAGGAGCGAAAGCGUGGGGAGCGAACAGG